AUUGAGCGCUGGCGGUAUGCUUAACACAUGCAAGUCGAACGGUAACAGGCCUUCGGGCGCUGACGAGUGGCGGACGGGUGAGUAACGCGUAGGAAUCUGCCUCAUAGUGGGGGACAACGUGGGGAAACUCACGCUAAUACCGCAUACGCCCUACGGGGAAAGCGGGGGAUCUUCGGACCUCGCGCUAUGAGAUGAGCCUGCGUUAGAUUAGCUAGUUGGUAGGGUAAAGGCCCUACCAAGGCGACGAUCUAUAGCUGGUCUGAGAGGACGAUCAGCCACACUGGGACUGAGACACGGCCCAGACUCCUACGGGAGGCAGCAGUGGGGAAUAUUGGACAAUGGGCGCAAGCCUGAUCCAGCAAUACCGCGUGUGUGAAGAAGGCCUUAGGGUUGUAAAGCACUUUCAAAUUGGGAGGGAAAAACCUGCCGGUCAAUACCCGGUAGCUUGACAUUACCUUUAGAAGAAGCACCGGCUAACUCCGUGCCAGCAG
rnacentral:rRNA from 1 species